rnacentral:rRNA from 1 species
AUUGAACGCUGGCGGCAUGCCUUACACAUGCAAGUCGAACGGCAGCGGGGGAGAAGCUUGCUUUUCCUGCCGGCGAGUGGCGAACGGGUGAGUAAUACAUCGGAACGUGCCCUGUAGUGGGGGAUAACUAGUCGAAAGAUUAGCUAAUACCGCAUACGACCUGAGGGUGAAAGUGGGGGACCGCAAGGCCUCAUGCUAUAGGAGCGGCCGAUGUCUGAUUAGCUAGUUGGUGGGGUAAAGGCCUACCAAGGCGACGAUCAGUAGCUGGUCUGAGAGGACGAUCAGCCACACUGUGACUGAGACACGGCCCAGACUCCUACGGGAAGCAGCAGUGGGGAAUUUUGGACAAGAGGCGAAAGCCUGAUCCAGCAAUGCCGCGUGUGUGAAGAAGGCCUUCGGGUUGUAAAGCACUUUUGUCCGGAAAGAAAUGGCUCUGGUUAAUACCUGGGGUCGAUGACGGUACCGGAAGAAUAAGGACCGGCUAACUACGUGCCAGCCGCCGCCGUAA